UCAAAUUGGGUUUGUUGGACUCCUUCUUGGGUCUCUUUCUCCCUUGGAGAAGCGGGAAAAAAGAAGCCUGAUAAUCUCCACGACUCCGAACAUUCUUUCAGACAGAGAAAGAUGGCGCCAGUGUUGCAGAGCUCACAGCCAUGGGUCGAAAAAUAUCGACCCAAGCAAGUCAAAGAUGUUGCUCACCAGGACGAGGUGGUCCGAGUUUUGACCAACACUCUUGAAACCGCUAAUUGCCCGCACAUGCUCUUUUAUGGUCCCCCAGGCACCGGGAAGACCACCACUGCACUUGCAAUCGCUCAUCAGCUAUAUGG